rnacentral:RNase_P_RNA from 1 species
UGCACAAUUCAAUCGCAGAUAUAUUUUAUAUUUGAGGAAAGUCCGCGCUAGCACUGCCUGCGAUGGUAGUAAAGUUCAUGUUGGAUCUAAUAAAUCCAAGCUUAGACGACAAGUGCCACAGAGACGAGUUUUUUUAUGAUUUUCAUAAAUAAAGGUGAAACGCGGUAAACUCCAUGAGCUAGAAACCUAAAUAUUUGGUAAGGGAGUCCAAUCAAGGGAAUUGAACUGAGAUUGGGAGGUUUUUAAUUUUAAAAACUUAGAUAAAUGAUUGAUUGAUACAGAACGCGGCUUAUUAGU